ACAAACCAACCAGAACUACCCCAGCCAACAGACCACGAAGGACGCAGCGUCUGAGAGUUCAAGGUCAGCUGUGCUGGGCUUUUCCAGGAGUCCCUCCACCCCCCACCACCCUGGGCAUCAUCACACCAUCAGCCAGCCCGAGGCUCACCCAAUCUGUCGGCCACGGAUCCACGGCAGGAAGAAGACUAGUGUCCCAAAGACAGUCAACUGUGGAUGACACCACUCCAACCACAGCUUCUGGGGAUCAGGCUCUGCUGCCCAGGGUGGAGACGAGUUCUUCGUCAUCAGUGCCCAGGAGUUGUUGUCAAACAAUGUCUCCAAAUGCUGUGACAUGGACAGCUGGGGCCGAGGCAGUGGCAGCCUUGGAGUUCACCCUGAAGAAAGGGUACAGAGAAGGGAGAGACAACAGCAAGGGAACUACCAGGUGCCCCCGACCCCACAAAGAAAGAGAUAAAGUGAGACCUGGAGACCUGAUGGGACUAGAGGCGAGAUAAAGGCAGAAAG
rnacentral:lncRNA from 1 species